rnacentral:rRNA from 1 species
UGGGGAAUAUUGCGCAAUGGGGGCAACCCUGACGCAGCAAUACCGCGUGAGUGAAGAAGGUUUUCGGAUCGUAAAGCUCUGUUAUUGGGGAAGAAGAAUGACGGUACCCAAUGAGGAAGUCCCGGCUAACUACGUGCCAGCAGCCGCGGUAAUACGUAGGGGACAAGCGUUGUCCGGAAUGACUGGGCGUAAAGGGCGCGUAGGCGGUCUAUUAAGUCUGAUGUGAAAGGUACCGGCUCAACCGGUGAAGUGCAUUGGAAACUGGUAGACUUGAGUAUUGGAGAGGCAAGUGGAAUUCCUAGUGUAGCGGUGAAAUGCGUAGAUAUUAGGAGGAACACCAGUGGCGAAGGCGGCUUGCUGGACAAAUACUGACGCUGAGGUGCGAAAGCGUGGGGAGCGAACAGGAUUA